rnacentral:rRNA from 1 species
UGGGGGAUAUUGCACAAUGGGGGAAACCCUGAUGCAGCGACGCCGCGUGGGUGAAGACGGCCUUCGGGUUGUAAAGCCCUGUUGCAGAGGACGAUAAUGACGGUACUCUGUGAGGAAGCCACGGCUAACUACGUGCCAGCAGCCGCGGUAAUACGUAGGUGGCGAGCGUUGUCCGGAAUUACUGGGUGUAAAGGGAGCGUAGGCGGGAGCUUAAGUUAGAUGUGAAAUACCGCAGCUUAACUGCGGGGCUGCAUCUAAGACUGGGCUUCUUGAGUGAAGUAGAGGCAGGCGGAAUUCCUAGUGUAGCGGUGAAAUGCGUAGAUAUUAGGAGGAACACCAGUGGCGAAGGCGGCCUGCUGGGCUUUAACUGACGCUGAGGCUCGAAAGCGUGGGGAGCAAACA